rnacentral:rRNA from 1 species
AGUACGGCGAGUGAAGCGGGAAGAGCUCAAAUUUGAAAUCUUAAAGGGUUUCCCUUUACGAAUUGUAGUUUAAAGAAGUGUUUUCUGUUGGAGUUUCGGUAAAAGUUCUUUGGAAUAGGACAUCAUAGAGGGUGAGAAUCCCGUAUUUGACCGUUACUUUCCAGCUGUGUGAUACACUUUCAAAGAGUCGGAUUGUUUGGGAAUGCAGUCCAAAAUGGGUGGUAAAUUUCAUCUAAAGCUAAAUAUUGGCGAGAGACCGAUAGCGAACAAGUACCGUGAGGGAAAGAUGAAAAGAACUUUGAAAAGAGAGUUAAACAGUACGUGAAAUUGUCAAAAGGGAAGCGUUUGACACCAGUGUUGUUUAGUUGAAAAUCAAUUCAAUAAUUUUUGAUUUUAAGUAGUAUUGACUUCAUCAGCUUGCUGCUUUCUUUUCNNNAAUUAUUGAAUGCACUUUUCAGUUAACAAGUCAACAUCAAUUUCUUUUGUUGUAAAAGGGUAAGAGGAAGGUGGCUUACGCUUCGGCGUAAGUGUUUAUAGCCUUUUACCUCUGCAAUCGGAGAGAUUGAGGACAGCAGCGUAGACUCUUCCGGGUGAGAUACACUUGUGCGAAACUAUAUCCUUGUGUAUACAANANGUGGAGAAUGCUCACACAUGUGNCUCACACGCUCGUGCGAUAUUACCUACACUCA